CUCGGUGGGUCCGACCCCUACUCCCUGCAGACGCAAAUUCCAGCGGGGUCGCAGCUGCAGAGCCCGUCCGUGUAACUAAACAUAAAAAAGACAGCCGAUUAGCCCUGGCCAGGUGGCUCAGUGGGUUGGAGCGUGGUCUCGUACCCCAAAGGGCUGGGGUUCGAUCGCGGUCAGAAGUCGUACUUAGGCUGCGGGGUGCGGCGGGGUGGGUUGGUCCCGACCGACCGGGCGCGAAUCGGAGGCGACCGAACCCUGUGUCUCUCUCCAGUCUUACUGUGACAUGGCCCUGAGCGACAACUUUGUUACCACUAGACUCUGUAAGCUCCUACUCUGACUGGUGAACAGCAGCGUUUCGAAUUAACAACAAUCCAGAGCGAGAUCAAGCUCACCCCGCCCCGUCUGCAGGAACAAGCCUGCGGUCCGGCAGUCAGGGGUGUGGAGCCAUUGCCAGGAGGGGGACGAGGACCGUGGGUGCCUCACCAAAGUAACAGCGGUUGCAGGACUGCGCGGAAGCAUGCAGGCAGUUACAUUUCUUGAAGCUGAAAUAGAUGAAGAGGAAAGAACAGCAAGUGGCCAAACGAAAUGCAGGAGGGCUGACACCAGGACAGCAGGACCUGCAUACAUACAUGUGAAUUGCGCGUGUGUAACACACUCAAGCAGAGGGCCAGCCUUUGAGCUGGAGGGAGGGUCGUCGCCUUGGAAAUUUUACCAUGUAGCUGGGCAGCCUGUCUUUCAUUAGCAGCUCACUAGGGGAGAGUUAAAUCCCUUAAGAGCUGAAUCUCCAAAAGCACAGUGAUAAAGUGAUGGCUUUCUCGCUGGUAUGACUCUCCUGAUGUGAGGCACUGGAGAACUCAUCCAGCGAAGCGGCGUGCUGCACUGCGAGCGUCCUGAUGCUGAGUGAUGGCGGCAGGUGCAGGAGAGCUCCCCACAGUCACUGCGCUCCCCAAGGUCUCUGGAUGGCGACCAAGGUGAAAACUGGCUGCAGGCUUUUGCACACUCCUGACACUCACACGGCUUCUCUGCAGGGUGACUUCGCCGACGCUGAGUAAGCUGUCCCUUUUGCCUGAAUGUUUGCCCACGCCCAUGCCAUCCACCAGGUUUUCCUCCAGUGUGGGGUGUCUGGUGGCAGGUAAGGGACAGGUGAGCGCCCAGGGCUUUUCCACACACUGCAGACACAAGGCUUCUCUCCGGGGUGAAUCACCGACAUUGAAUAACUUGUGAGCGCUGACUGGAGAAUUUUCCACAUUCCUUAUACCGAUAGGGUUUCUCCCCACUGUAAAUUCCCUGAUGGACAAUAAGGAAGCAAGCAGUUCAGGCGAAAGGAUUUUCCACACUCAUGGCACUCAUAGGGUUUUUCUUGUGUAUCAAUCCCCUGAUGCAAAAUAAGGGAUAAUUGUGCACCAACAGCUGUGCCGCAGCCAGCACAGGCAUGCGGGUGUCUCCAGUACCAGUUCUCCGGCGCCACAUGAAGGGUGACUGUCGACCGGAGGCUCUCCCACACUCCCUGCCCCUGUGAGGUUUCUCUCCACCGAGGCCUCCCUGGGGACGAAGCCAGUCCGGCCAGAGUGGCGGUAUCAGGUGGCAAGUGGUCAGAAUCUAGGUUCAUGUCAAAGGGUUUGCUGAAUUGGAUGUGUGAUGAGACAGCAAGACUUUUGGCCCAAGCAAUAGAGAUGAUGAAAUUUGCAUUCACGCAGAAGGAUGAGACUGUAGGAGUAUAUCUGAAGGGUAAAAAUGGAGGGUUGUUCUGUACAUAUCUGUGUAAGAUGCCUGUUGGACUUAGACGUGGAGGGUUAAGCAUCUGGAUGUACAGUUAACCCUUGACCAACACAGGUUUGGACUGUGCGGGGCCACUGGCAUGUGGAUUAUCUUCCAUAAGCACAUGAAGCGUUUUUGCUACCCGGUUGGGAGUCAAUGGGUGCAUUUCACGUGGGAGCUCGAGCUUUGCAGAUUUUGGUGCUUGCUGGGGGAAGGGGUGCUCUGAAACCAACUGUCUGUGGAUACUGAAGUACAAGUUAAUUUGGGGGCAGUCAAAAGUUAUGUGCAGAUUUUCCACGGCAGGGGUUGUGUGAGUCAGCACCUGACACCGCCGCCGUUCAAGAGUUGACUGCACAGGUCCAAACUCCAGGAGACAGGCCGCGGCUGGCUGGGUGCACACCGGGAACUGUCAGCGCGUGUGACUUUCAGAACCACAGGCUGAACUUUUACUUUAGGCUGAAAGGUAACACGAGGUUUCACUCUCAGGAAAACCUCCCCUGCCGGCCUCUAAUACAUAGCUUGCCUCCAUCCCCACGGCACCUCCGUGCAAAUAAACCCAUCAGUUCAAGUGGAAGCGAGCCCCUUUCCCCUGGUCCAGCCACUGUGGCCCUAGAGGACCACAAGGCCCAGCCCUGGUCAACAAAACACGAAGGGCAGUUUGCCAAGAGGCUUCCAGGAAGGGCUUUCCUUCCCCAGUCACAACAAGGAAACAAUGAGAAACACCUCUGUUUGGAGUGACCAUGAGGGAACACCAGGAGAACCUCGAAGACACGUCCCAGGGGAAACCCUGGGCCCAUCUCCAUCACUGAGGCCUGUGUUGCGCAGGUUUUCCCGAAAGGCAGGUGACCCCAGGCAUGCGGAUGCUCGAGUCAUUCCUCAGGGCGGGGCCUUCCCAAGUCUCCACCUGAGCCCAGUGGGCCUGUGAGCGGCGGCCCCUGGCGCUCACGCCCUCUGCGUCUCUCUCGUGUCUCUCGUGGUCGGCCUUCACUUCCGGACUCAUCCAGGGAAGCACGGGCUCCGGACUCCAACAGGACUAGGUUCCCAUGAGGGGCAUCCACCUAUGAACACAAAGGUCUCAGGUAAGCACCUUGACUUAUCCACACACAUCUCUGAAGUGACUAUUUUGAGAGUUCAGUAAGAAAAAGGUAAAAAGCUCUUCGCACAUUGUCCACCAAUCACACACAGUGGGGUCCUCACGAAAUCUGACCACACCAUCCAUUGGUGUCACUGCUCAUGCACUGGAAUGAAUGGCUCGCCUGGGCCUGCCCUGCACAGCCUCCACUUUCCGCUGCUGAAUCUGCUCCUGUCCAGAAGCACCU